GUAGAAAUCUGAUAUACCAAAAAAAUUUAAUUCUAAGAGCUGUUACAAAACUGUGUCCUUUGCUGAAAUCUGUAGUAGUGUUUACUCCAAGAUUGAGCAAAAAUCCUGCUUAUGUUGAAUCUACUGCUCCUCAAAUAGCAGACCAGUAAAAGAAAAGCACAAAAUGCUACCGAAUCUUCUCAAAGAAAAUAUAACGACAGCUACUUAAAAUUUGGAUUCACGAGUGCCAAAAAUAAAAUUAUACCUAAGCACAAUGCUUAGUUGGCAAGAAAAUAUUGCCAAACUGUUCUUUAGCACCUGCUUAAUUAUGCUCAUCAUUUUGAGCAAAACCACCCAGAGUACAAAGAUAAAGACAUUGCCUUUCUUAAGCGAAAGCUUCAGGAGUAUCAUAAAACUAAUUUGAAAAUGAUAAAGCCACUUAUUAAAAGGUUUGUGCUACAGUGCAAAUUUUUUUUACAGGAGUUCCAUGAUGUUGGUAUACAUGUGAAAGGGUUCCACAGGAAAAAAUAUUGGGAACACCUGCACUAGGGCAAACAUCAAAGGAGACCAGUCCACUGUAAUUUUCACUAAUACAUCUGGAGCAGAAGUUUGCCCUUUCUAGAUGGCCAAAUAUAACAUGAAAAAUUCUGUUAGAACUUCCAUUGAUUAUAUUGGUCAGUUGACAAAUUUGCAUGAGUUUUGUCUGUUCUGCAUUCUUGGGCACAUAUCUAAGGAAGUAAUGAGACUGCAGUAUCAAAAGUGGUGAUAGAUCCUUUGCUGAAGUGUUGCCACUUGGUCCCUUCAGUCUUAAAACUAUUUCAGAGUGCAAUACUGGCAUUGUCUGUGCUACUGAGCUUUCGAAAGAUGUUGUAACAACUUUUUUUUUUUUACAAAAUAGACUGUUUUACUGUUAUCUCUGCAAAUUGUGUAAUUUAUAAUUCAAACGUGUUUAGAAACCCC